UCCUACGGGAGGCAGCAGUGGGGAAUCUUGCACAAUGGGCGAAAGCCUGAUGCAGCAACGCCGCGUGCGGGAAGAAGGCCCUCGGGUUGUAAACCGCUUUCAGAAGGAACGAAACUGACGGUACUUUCAGAAGAAGGUGCGGCCAACUACGUGCCAGCAGCCGCGGUGACACGUAGGCACCAGGCGUUGUCCGGAUUUAUCGGGCGUAAAGAGCUCGUAGGCGGUUCAGUAAGUCGGGUGUGAAAACUUUGGGCUUAACCCAAAGCGUGCAUCCGAUACUGCUGUGACUUGAGUUCGGUAGGGGAGUGGGGAAUUCCUAGUGUAGCGGUGAAAUGCGCAGAUAUUAGGAGGAACACCGGUGGCGAAGGCGCCACUCUGGGCCGAAACUGACGCUGAGGAGCGAAAGCAUGGGUAGCAAACAGGAUUAGAUACCCUGGUAGUCCAUGCCGUAAACGUUGGGCACUAGGUGUGGGUUCCAACCAACGGAAUCCGCGCCGUCGCUAACGCAUUAAGUGCCCCGCCUGGGGAGUACGGCCGCAAGGUUAAAACUCAAAGGAAUUGACGGGGGCCCGCACAAGCAGCGGAGCGUGUUGCUUAAUUCGAGGCAACGCGAAGAACCUUACCUGGGUUUGACAUGUAGGGAAAAGCCGUAGAGAUACGGUGUCCUUCGGGGCCCUACACAGGUGGUGCAUGGCUGUCGUCAGCUCGUGUCGUGAGAUGUUGGGUUAAGUCCCGCAACGAGCGCAACCCUUGUCCUAUGUUGCCAGCGGAUAAUGCCGGGGACUCGUAGGAGACUGCCGGGGUCAACUCGGAGGAAGGUGGGGACGACGUCAAGUCAUCAUGCCUCUUUUUGUCCAGGGCUGCAAACAUGCUACAUGGCCGGUACAAAGGGCUGCGAAACCGCGAGUUGAGCGAAUCCCAUAAAGCCGGUCUUCAGUUCGGAUUGGAGUCUGC
rnacentral:rRNA from 1 species